AACGAACGCUGGCGGCAUGCCUAACACAUGCAAGUCGAGCGAGACCUUCGGGUCUAGUGGCGCACGGGUGCGUAACGCGUGGGAAUCUGCCCUUCGGUUGGGAAUAACUGAGAGAAAUUUCAGCUAAUACCUUAUAAUGUCUUCGGACCAAAGAUUUAUCGCCGAGGGAUGAGCCCGCGUAGGAUUAGGUAGUUGGUGGGGUAAUGGCCUACCAAGCCGACGAUCCUUAGCUGGUCUGAGAGGAUGAUCAGCCACACUGGGACUGAGACACGGCCCAGACUCCUACGGGAGGCAGCAGUGGGGAAUAUUGGACAAUGGGCGAAAGCCUGAUCCAGCAAUGCCGCGUGAGUGAUGAAGGCCUUAGGGUUGUAAAGCUCUUUUACCCGGGAUGAUAAUGACAGUACCGGGAGAAUAAGCUCCGGCUAACUCCGUGCCAGCCGCCGCCGUAACAC
rnacentral:rRNA from 1 species